rnacentral:lncRNA from 1 species
AUCCCAGUAUAACCCAGUAUAUCCCAGUAUAACCCAGUACAUCACAGUAUAUCCCAGUAUAACCCAGUAUAUCCCAGUAUAUCCCAGUAUAUCCCGGUAUAACACAGUUCAUCCCAGUAUAUCCCAGUACAUCCCAGUAUAACGCAAUACAUCCCAGUAUAACCCAGUAUAUCCCAGUACAUCCCAGUAUAACGCAAUACAUCCCAGUUUAGCCCAGUAUAACCCAGUACAUCCCAGUAUAACCCAAUACAUCCCAGUACAUCCCAGUAUAACCCAGUAUAUCCCAGUAUAACCCAGCACCCCCCAGUCCAAACAUCCACCCUCCCAGUCCUUCCUGGUUAGCCCACAUUCCCUCCCAGUUUCCUCCCAGUCCAUCCCAGUUUCCCCUUAUUCUCUCCCAGUUUCCCAGUCUCCAUAGAACAACACUCCCAGUCCCUCCCAGUUCCUCCCAGUCCCUCCCAGUUCCCCCAUUCCCCCAUUUCCCCUCCCAGUUUCCACAUAUCCCCUCCCAGUCCCUCCCAGUCUCCCAUCCCAGUGCUUCCAGUCCCUCCCAGUCUCCAUAUAGACACUCCCAGUCCCUUCCAGUUUCCUCCCAUUCCCUCCCAGUCCCUCCCAGUUCCUCCCAGUCUCUCCAUAUCUCCUCCCAGUCCCUCCCAGUUUCUUCAUAUCCCCUCCCAGUCUCCCUAUAGAUAAUCCCAGUCCCUCCCAGUUUCCCCCGAAUCCCUUCCAGUUUCCUCCCAGUUUCCUCCCAGUCCCUCCCAGUUCCCCCAUUCCCCCAUUUCCCCUCCCAGUUUCCCCAUAUCCCCUCCCAGUCCCUCCCAGUUUCCCUAUACACACUCCCAGUCCCUCCCAGUUUCCUCCCAGUCCAUCCCAGUCUCCCUAUACACACUCCCAGUCCCUCCCAGUCUCCCAUCCCAGUACUUCCAGUCCCUCCCAGUUUCCCUAUCGACACUCCCAGUCCCUCCCAUUCCCUCCCAGUCCCUCCCAGUUUCCUCCCAGUCCCUCCCAGUUUCUUCAUAUCCCCUCCCUAUAGAUAAUCCCAGUCCCUCCCAGUUUCCCACUAACUCCUCCCAGUUUCCUCCCAGUCCCUCCCAGUCUCCCUAUACACACUCCCAGUCCCUUCCAGUCCCACCCAGUUUCCCUAUACACACUCCCAGUCACUCCCAGUUUCCUCCCAGUCCCUCCCAGUCUCCAUAUAGACACUCCCAGUCCCUCCCAGUAUCCCCAUAUC